CUCGCCACUUGCCACUCCAGUUCCUCCUCCGCCUCCGCCGACGCCACCAGGGGCCGGUCCAUGGCCGCACCGGGAGCUCCGCUGCCCUAGUCGGAGCCUGCUUGAGACACGAAAAAAUGUAGAAAGGCCAACUGCCCGUCUUCACCGCGUCAAAACAAAUGUCUGGUUGGGCUCGCCGAGUUACUGUUGUUGGCGAAGUCCAAGGAAUUGAGGAUGAAGAUGAAAGAAAAGAGCCUCCUAAUUGGUAUUUGUCAAAAUGUCAAACCUGGAAAAGACCAAACUUCGUGAAGUGCUACUUUCGUGCCUUAAGACAGUUAUUUAUCGUGGUUGUGUUAUUACACACCAGAGAGAGAAGCAGGUGUUUAUACCACUGGAACUUUGCCUUGCAGAUUAUUUACAAAAUCUUGCUCCUUCAUGCCCAUCUCAGAACAAACACAAUCUGCAUUCAGAACAGGACCGUUUACAAGUUCAAUGGAGUUAUUUUGGAUAUGACUCAUUGCUCUUGGUGUAAUCCCCAAGGACCAGAGAAGCUCUACUUUAAAGCAACAUCAAUACCUCUGGAAAUUUUAUUGGCUCUGCCUUCAAAAUAUAUUCAGAAUUUAGGAAGUUCUUCAGACAAAAGGAAUAUAAGACCAACCAUAAAACUUGGAUCUACAUCAAGAAAUGAAGAGCAUUGGAAAUGGAAUCAAGCAAGCAUAGUACAUUUUCAUCUUUCAGAUUGUGAAAAUCAGACUCAGAAUCACUUCACUGGCUCUGCUGGCAAUGAAUGAUUCAAGUAAAUCACUGGAUGCCUUUAUCUCUGGAUCAAUAUCAAGUUCAACUGAAGAGCCAUAAAGAUAAGCACUAUCAACUUGGUAUUUGGCAGUUUGGUGCAAACACUAAAGGAAAGAGAGUCCUCAAAGAGUGACCAAUGGAAGAGGAGAGACCAAAGUUAAACAUGGUCAGUUCUGUUUGAGAGGCCAGUAAAAUAUACAGGUAACAGUGACCAACAGGAAACUGGAUAUGGAAAUCUAUAACUUGAGAGCUGAGCCUGGAUAAAUAUGUGGGGGUCAUUAGCAAAUAGGUAUCAGUUCGAUCAAAAUGGGCAGUUUUACUCAGGUGAAGCAUCUGGUCUGAGAAGUGCAGCAUAUGGAAGACAUAAUCUAGGGUUAUGGCAACAUUUGUGUGGGUGGAAGAAGAGGUGCUAGGAAGAGAAGGAUCAGAAUAAUACAAGAGUAGCUGGAUGGAUAUAGUCUUAUGGAUUUUAUAGAAAAAGAGAGCUUCAAGAGCUAAAGAAUGAGUCAUAGCAUCAAAUGUAGCAGAGGCUUAGUGAGAUCAGACUGAAAGCUUUCGUUGGAUUUAUCAAUUAUUAAGACUUGGUGACCCCCGGGAAAGCCGAGGAAUCAAUAGGAUGGCAGCAAGUAGAGAAAAUCUUCCUUGAAGAAGUGUAAAUCAGAGAUAGUAAUAUAAGAAAACCGGGGAAAGGUGGAUAUUUGCCUCCUGGUUGUAAAAAAAUGGGAUUCACUGGCGCACAUUACUAGGUUGAGAGGAACACAGAAAGAUCUAUUUUCUUUCAUAAAUAAGAUUCAAAGACAUUAUUGGUUAAUAAAAUCUGAAAACAUUUUAAAAACUCA